UACGUAGGGUGCAAGCGUUGUCCGGAAUUAUUGGGCGUAAAGAGCUCGUAGGCGGUUUGUCGCGUCUGCUGUGAAAACUCGGGGCUUAACCCCGGGCCUGCAGUGGGUACGGGCAGACUAGAGUGCGGUAGGGGAGACUGGAAUUCCUGGUGUAGCGGUGAAAUGCGCAGAUAUCAGGAGGAACACCAGUGGCGAAGGCGGGUCUCUGGGCCGAUACUGACGCUGAGGAGCGAAAGCGUGGGGAGCGAACAGG
rnacentral:rRNA from 1 species